AUGAACGCUAGCUACAGGCUUAACACAUGCAAGUCGAGGGGCAUCAGGAAGAAAGCUUGCUUUCUUUGCUGGCGACCGGCGCACGGGUGAGUAACACGUAUCCAACCUGCCCUUUACUCGGGGAUAGCCUUUCGAAAGAAAGAUUAAUACCCGAUAGCAUAAUGAUUCCGCAUGGUUUCAUUAUUAAAGGAUUCCGGUAAAGGAUGGGGAUGCGUUCCAUUAGGUUGUUGGUGAGGUAACGGCCCACCAAGCCUUCGAUGGAUAGGGGUUCUGAGAGAAAGGUCCCCCACAUUGGAACUGAGACACGGUCCAAACUCCUACGGGAGGCAGCAGUGAGGAGUAUUGGUCAAUGGGCGCUAGCCUGAACCAGCCAAGUAGCGUGAAGGAUGAAGGCUCUAUGGGUCGUAAACUUCUUUUAUAUAAGAAUAAAGUGCAGUAUGUAUACUGUUUUGUAUGUAUUAUAUGAAUAAGGAUCGGCUAACUCCGUGCCAGCAGCCGCGGUAAUACGGAGGAUCCGAGCGUUAUCCGGAUUUAUUGGGUUUAAAGGGAGCGUAGGUGGACUGGUAAGUCAGUUGUGAAAGUUUGCGGCUCAACCGUAAAAUUGCAGUUGAUACUGUCAGUCUUGAGUACAGUAGAGGUGGGCGGAAUUCGUGGUGUAGCGGUGAAAUGCUUAGAUAUCACGAAGAACUCCGAUUGCGAAGGCAGCUCACUGGACUGCAACUGACACUGAUGCUCGAAAGUGUGGGUAUCAAACAGGAUUAGAUACCCUGGUAGUCCACACAGUAAACGAUGAAUACUCGCUGUUUGCGAUAUACAGUAAGCGGCCAAGCGAAAGCAUUAAGUAUUCCACCUGGGGAGUACGCCGGCAACGGUGAAACUCAAAGGAAUUGACGGGGGCCCGCACAAGCGGAGGAACAUGUGGUUUAAUUCGAUGAUACGCGAGGAACCUUACCCGGGCUUAAAUUGCAGUGGAAUGAUGUGGAAACAUGUCAGUGAGCAAUCACCGCUGUGAAGGUGCUGCAUGGUUGUCGUCAGCUCGUGCCGUGAGGUGUCGGCUUAAGUGCCAUAACGAGCGCAACCCUUAUCUUUAGUUACUAACAGGUUAUGCUGAGGACUCUAGAGAGACUGCCGUCGUAAGAUGUGAGGAAGGUGGGGAUGACGUCAAAUCAGCACGGCCCUUACGUCCGGGGCUACACACGUGUUACAAUGGGGGGGUACAGAAGGCAGCUAGCGGGUGACCGUAUGCUAAUCCCAAAAUCCUCUCUCAGUUCGGAUCGAAGUCUGCAACCCGACUUCGUGAAGCUGGAUUCGCUAGUAAUCGCGCAUCAGCCACGGCGCGGUGAAUACGUUCCCGGGCCUUGUACACACCGCCCGUCAAGCCAUGGGAGCCGGGGGUACCUGAAGUACGUAACCGCAAGGAUCGUCCUAGGGUA
rnacentral:rRNA from 1 species